CCCAGACUCCUACGGGAGGCAGCAGUGGGGGAUAUUGCACAAUGGGGGAAACCCUGAUGCAGCGACGCCGCGUGGGUGAAGAAGCGCCUCGGCGCGUAAAGCCCUGUCAGCAGGGAAGAAAAUGACGGUACCUGAAGAAGAAGCCCCGGCUAACUACGUGCCAGCAGCCGCGGUAAUACGUAGGGGGCAAGCGUUAUCCGGAUUUACUGGGUGUAAAGGGAGCGUAGGCGGCAGGGCAAGCCUGAUGUGAAAGCCCGGGGCUCAACCCCGGGACUGCAUUGGGAACUGCCCCGCUCGAGUGCCGGAGGGGCAGGCGGAAUUCCUAGUGUAGCGGUGAAAUGCGUAGAUAUUAGGAGGAACACCAGUGGCGAAGGCGGCCUGCUGGACGGUGUACUGACGCUGAGGCUCGAAAGCGUGGGGAGCAAACAGGAUUAGAUGCCCGUGUA
rnacentral:rRNA from 1 species